ensembl:misc_RNA Metazoa_SRP Metazoan signal recognition particle RNA
UGCCGACCGGGUGCCUGCACUAAGUUCGGCAUCAAUAUGGUGACCUCCUGGGAGCGGGGGGGCCACCAAGUUGCCUAAGGAUGGCUGAACUGGCCCAGGUCAGAAACGGAGCAGGUCAGAACUCCUGCACCGACCGGUAGUGGGACUGGGCCUGGGCA